rnacentral:rRNA from 1 species
AUGGAUCCAUGUGACAUACUGAAUGUGAGGUUUCACUUCGGUGGCUAGUUUGUUCGGAUGGGGCCUAACUUAGAUUAUGUUGGAGGAGAUGAGGCAAUGUCAGAGAUAGAAAGAGACAAGUUGUCUUUGCCAGAACUGAAAGGGUAUCUUGGUGAUCAUGUUCCUUUGAAAAAAAGUAUGAAAAUAUACUUCCUGUUGCCUGGUAAAGAACUAGUGGAUGGGUUGUUUUUCCUGUGUGAUGAUGCUGGCUGCAUUAAAAUGUGUGAAUACAUAACUGAAGGAGGAGGUGCUGAUGUUUAUGUGGAGUAUUCUGGGGAGCAAGAUGAUGGAAGUGCAAGUGACUUUGAAAAUGAGAUGGGUAAUGAGUCAGCGGGAGAGAGUGAUGUAGAACCAGAUGCGAUCAUAACUGCAGAAGAAGAUGUGCAG